rnacentral:lncRNA from 1 species
UAUAUUUCAACGAAGGGAAAAGAGACCGACCGUCUCUACAGCAAAGAGCGAAGAGUUUGGUGGUUGGUAUUUGAGGUCCUAAAUUCGAAUUCUAGUUGAUUUAUAUUUCCAGCUAAACUUAUUUUUAAUAGAAAUAAACGAAACAAGUAAUAUGUUAUUUUUCUCCCGUUCAAAAAAAAAACAAAAAAAUAAAAAGGAUAGUGAAAAAUGAGUGAAAAAUGAUGUAAACGUGACGAACGAACAAACGAACGA